AUGGGGAACUGCGCCGCCUCCCGGCUCGCCGGCGGCGGCGGCGGCGCGGGCGCGGGCGGCGACCCCGUGGCGGUGUGCCGCGACCGGAAGCGCCUCAUCAAGGCGGCCGCCGACCGGAGGUUCGCGCUGGCCGCGGCGCACGCCGGCUACGCGGCCGCCCUGCGCGCCGUCGCCGACGCGCUCGACGUCUUUGUCGCGCGCCACACCGCGCCGGCGCCGAUACUCAUCACGCUCCCCACUCCCACCGCCUCGCCCCCCGGGUCGCCCAAGCCGGCGCAGGCGCUGAUGCCCUCGGCCCCCUCGCCCACGCCCUCGCCCCCGCCGCCGCAGCCGCAGCCGCAGCGGCAGACGGAGGCGCCGCCGCCCGAGGAGGAGCAGGAGGACUGCGGCGCGCGCACGCCGGAAAUGGGGACGCCCGAGAUGGGCCGCCCGUACUACUACACGCCCCCGGCGACGCCGCCCCCGCCGCCCCCCGCGGCGUCGGCGGUCGGCGGGUGGGACUUCUUCAACCCGUUCUACGGGACGGAGGAGGUGGCGGCCGCAGCCGCGGCCAUCAGCGACGAGGAGAUGCGCGCCGUCAGGGAGCGGGAGGGGAUCCCAGACCUGGAGGAGGCGGAAGAGGAAGACGAGGACGAGGACGAGAACGAGAACGAGGGGGAGGGGGAGAAGGUGGUGGCGGCGGCGGCGGCUAAAAACCCUAAAGCAGAUUCUUCGCUUGGAGUGGCCAAGCAGGAAGGGGCGAAAGAGGUGGGCGAGGUGACGACGGGUAACAACGGCGGCGGGCUGGAGGUCGGCAUGGUGCAGCCGGGGCGCGAGCUCCUGGCGGCGCUGAAGGAGGUGGAGGAGCUCCUGUCCCGCGCUGCGGAGGCCGGGAAGGAGGUCUCCGGCAUGCUCGAGGCCGCCGCCCGUGCCCCCGAGCUCAAAGAGAGCCCGUCGAAGAUAAUUCAUGCCAUUGCGUGGCACCGGUCUCCCUCGUCUGUGUCAUCUUCAUCCUAUAGGAGCGAGCUGGGAGCAAGCUCGAACAGCUUGUCGUGGACAGAGAAGAGUGAGACUAAUAAGAGCGACAUAUUCGAUGACUAUGGUGGGAUGAAGUCAGGAAGUCACUCGCAGACAUUAGGGAGAUUGUAUGCCUGGGAGAAGAAACUGUAUGAAGAAGUUAAGGCCAUAGAUCAAAUUCGACAAACAUACGAGAAGAAAUGUGUCCAGCUGAGGAACCAAGAUGCCAAAGGUUCAGAGCUGCGCUGUGCUGAAAAGACUCGGACAAAUGUGAGAGACUUGUACACAAGGAUCUGGGUUUCUCUACGAGCAGCAGAAUCGAUAUCAGAUAGAAUACAAAAAUUACGGGACGAGGAACUGCAACCGCAGCUUGUUGAGCUGUUGCACGGCUUUGCGAGAACUUGGAAAGUGAUGGUGGAGUCUCAUGAAGCACAGCGACAGAUAAUGUUUGAGGUGAAUUCCUUCACCUGCCCUGCUUAUGGGAAAUUCUGCAACGAUGCCCAGCGGCAUGCCACUCUCAGGCUGGAGGUUGAACUGAGGAAUUGGAGGUCCUGCUUUGUGAGCUAUGUUAGUGCUCAGAAAGCAUACAUUGAAGCCCUUGACGGCUGGCUGUCCAAGUUCAUCGUGACGGACACCAUCCGUUACUCCCGAGGGAUCUCUUCGAUCGCGCCUGACAGGGCCGGCGCGCCGCCCCUGGUCGUGAUCUGCCACGAGUGGCACACCACGCUGUCGAGGUUCCCGUACAAGCGGGUGCCCUUCACCAUGCGUAACUUCAACCGGAGCGUGAGGGUGCUGUGGCUGAAGCAAGGGGAGGAGCAGCAGCAGAAGCGGAAGGUGGACGGCCUGGCCAAGGAGCUGGACAAGAAGGCGACGGCGUACAAGCGUGCGGAGAACAAGGUGAUCGAGACGAAGCUGCUGGAGCACCGGCCGGAGCAGGACGCGAGGCAGCGGAUGGAGCAGCUGUCGGAGCGCAAGGAGGCGCUGAGCGCGCUGCGGCGGCGGGUGGAGGCGGAGAAGGCGCGGCACCACCACUGCAUGCGCGACACCCACGACGUCACCCUCAACGGCUUCAAGAUCGGCCUCGCGAGCAUGUUCGAGGCCCUUGCCGAGUUCUCCCGGGACUCCGUCGCGCUCUACGAGGACCUCCUGGCGCGCGCCGGCCCCAAGGAGGGCCCUGAGAAGGCUGCCUCCGCCGCCGCCAUCGAGCAGCAGCAGCCGCCGCGUCCGGCGGCGGUUGAGGCGACAUGA
rnacentral:rRNA from 1 species